UCUGACAAACUUUCAGAUUAUAAAACUGAACUGGGUAAGAAAUUACAGAACUCUAACAGAGAAACUGAUGGGCCCAUAAAACUGCUAAGAGAAGAUUAAGAUCAAAAAUCAAUUACACAGGACUGAAUGAACUGAUGAGGAUGAUUAUAAUUUUUAUGACUUUUCAUUUGAAAUAUUG